UGGGGAAUAUUGCGCAAUGGGCGAAAGCCUGACGCAGCGACGCCGCGUGAGGGAUGAAGGUUUUCGGAUCGUAAACCUCUGUCAGAAGGGAAGAAACCGCACUGUGCUAAUCAGCAGUGCCUUGACGGUACCUUCAAAGGAAGCACCGGCUAACUCCGUGCCAGAAGCCGCGGUAAUACGGAGGGUGCAAGCGUUAAUCGGAAUUACUGGGCGUAAAGCGCACGUAGGCUGCUUUGUAAGUCAGGGGUGAAAUCCCACGGCUCAACCGUGGAACUGGCUUUGAUACUGCUUAGCUUGAAUCCGGGAGAGGGUGGCGGAAUUCCAGGUGUAGGAGUGAAAUCCGUAGAUAUCUGGAGGAACAUCAGUGGCGAAGGCGGCCACCUGGACCGGUAUUGACGCUGAGGUGCGAAAGCGUGGGGAGCAAACAGG
rnacentral:rRNA from 1 species